UUAAAACCUUUGAUAAGAAUAGUAGAUAAUAAAACUUAGUGUAAAGAGAGUUCGAUGUUUGGUGAGAGUCGAGUACUGAAGAUAUUAUUGAAUGGGUCUUUGAGGUGACAUUUUGAAAUCUUAAGAGUAGGAAUGUACGGGAAGUCAGCCGUUAAAAUGACAGGAUAUAAUUAUGGGAAUUUUGUGUUUGACUGAAUUUCAUAAUAGUAUCUGAUAGCAUAUAUACAUUAGGUGGCAUAGCGAAAUUUAUACAUUUCGUCCUAUUU
rnacentral:misc_RNA from 1 species